rnacentral:rRNA from 1 species
UACAGGUGCUGCAUGGCUGUCGUCAGCUCGUGCUGUGAAGUGUUGGGUUAAGUCCCGCAACGAGCGCAACCCCUCGCUAUCUGUUGCCAGCAAGUAAUGUUGGGGACUCAGAUGGAACUGCCGGUGACAAACCGGAGGAAGGUAGGGACGACGUCAAGUCAUCAUGGCCCUUAUGUCCUGGGCUACACACGUGCUACAAUGGCCGGUACAGAGCGCAGCGAAGCCGCGAGGCAAAGCGAAUCGCAAAAAGCCGGUCUCAGUACGGAUUGGAGUCUGAAACUCGACUCCAUGAAGUUGGAAUCGCUAGUAAUCGCGCAUCAGCAUGGCGCGGUGAAUACGUUCCCGGGCCUU